rnacentral:rRNA from 1 species
UACGUAUGGUGCAAGCGUUAUCCGGAUUUACUGGGUGUAAAGGGAGCGUAGACGGUAAUGUAAGUCUGAUGUGAAAGCCCGGGGCUCAACCCCGGGACUGCAUUGGAAACUAUGUAACUAGAGUACCGGAGAGGUAAGCGGAAUUCCUAGUGUAGCGGUGAAAUGCGUAGAUAUUAGGAGGAACACCAGUGGCGAAGGCGGCUUACUGGACGGAAACUGACGUUGAGGCUCGAAAGCGUGGGGAGCAAACAGG